GCCUCGCCCCGCCCGGCUCGUCAGCUUCUCCUCCAACCGUGCGGCGCGGGAUGGGAAGGUCAUCCAGAGGACCCAAGACAUGGUGGUUACUAGUAGACUUCCCACAGUAGUUCUUCAUUCCAUGUGGACUCCUUCAAGGGCAGUGAGCAUCACAGCUUCCCUUGAACUUCGUCUGGAAAAACAAAUGCUGUUCAAGGACACUGAAAGAACCCUGAUGUUGAAAAUCAGAUCUGUAUUGUGAGCAAUGCUUAGAAAUCCUUUCCUUUGCAGGGGUGUUAAUGUACAGAUUCCAGUACCAUGGCCGGAGUGAAUAAUAGUAUCAUUAUUCGUGAGCGCAACUCUACUAAGUCUUAACGCUCAUGUCGCUCAAGGUUUUUUAAUACCUAUUAUG
ensembl:lncRNA